rnacentral:misc_RNA from 1 species
GAUGAAGAACGUAGCGAAAUGCGAUAAGUAAUGUGAAUUGCAGAAUUCAGUGAAUCAUCGAAUCUUUGAACGCACAUUGCGCCCGCCAGUAUUCUGGCGGGCAUGCCUGUUCGAGCGUCAUUACAACCCUCAGGCCCCCGGGCCUGGUGUUGGGGAUCGGCGGAGCCCCCCGUGGGCACACGCCGUCCCCCAAAUACAGUGGCGGUCCCGCCGCAGCUUCCAUCGCGUAGUAGCUAACACCUCGCGACUGGAGAGCGGCGCGGCCACGCCGUAAAACACCCAACUCUUCUGAAGUUGACCUCGAAUCAGGUAGGAAUACCCGCUGAACUUAAGCAUAUCAAUAAGCGGAGGA